AAGCGCGCGCAGGCGGCUCUUUAAGUCUGGUGUUUAAUCCCGAGGCUCAACUUCCGGUCUCACUGUAAUCUGGACAGCUUGGAUGCCAAUUAAGAUAGUGGAAUUCCAACUGUUACCGUGAAAUUGCUAAAAUUUUGCAUAAACCUCCGAGUGCAAAGGCACUCUCUGGGCCUGGUCUGAACCUUAAUGCCCAAAGCCUGGGGAAUCGACCAGAAUUAAUUCCCCGGUUAUCCCCCCCCCUAACCAAUAAUGCUUCGUGGUUGGCGAUUCAAUACCCUUGUCGCCGAAAUUACCUUAUUUUAUCCUCCUGCUGAGUACUCCCGCCGCGAUAAUGCUCCUCGGAAUUGUUGGCGGCCACCCCCACCAGAGGAGCAUGAGGUUUAUUUCUUCGAUACACCACGAACCUUCCUACCACGUCUUGACUUCCCUCUGAUGGGGAGACACAUCCGUCCUUCCUUACACACAGAUAAGAGCUGCGUGGCUGGCUUCUCCUCAUCUCGUGUCGUGAUAUGUUAAG
rnacentral:rRNA from 1 species